rnacentral:rRNA from 1 species
AUUGAACGCUGGCGGCAGGCCUAACACAUGCAAGUCGAACGGUAGCAGGAAGAAGCUUGCUUCUUUGCUGACGAGUGGCGGACGGGUGAGUAAUGUCUGGGAAACUGCCUGAUGGAGGGGGAUAACUACUGGAAACGGUAGCUAAUACCGCAUAACGUCACAAGACCAAAGAGGGGGACCUUCGGGCCUCUUGCCAUCAGAUGUGCCCAGAUGGGAUUGGCUAGUAGGUGGGGUAACGGCUCACCUAGGCGACGAUCCCUAGCUGGUCUGAGAGGAUGACCAGCCACACUGGAACUGAGACACGGUCCAGACUCCUACGGGUGGCAGCAGUGGGGAAUAUUGCACAAUGGGCGCAAGCCUGAUGCAGCCAUGCCGCGUGUGUGAAGAAGGCCUUCGGGUUGUAAAGCACUUUCAGCGGGGAGGAAGGGGGAAUGGUUAAUAACCAUUGCCAUUGACGUUACCCGCAGAAGGAGCACCGGCUAACUCUGUGCCAGCCGCCGCCGUAA